UGGUUUGGGUGAUAAUGGAUCAAGGUAAUAUCAGCUUCCCACUGCUUUCUUCAUAUCUGAUGUAUUAGUGACAUGUUCUUCUAAUCAUUCAUAUCUGUGCUCCUCUCUUUGAGUUUUAUCAAUGUUAGGUGAAUAGAGUGUAGUGGAUAAAGUUAUUUGAUUAAGACAUUUGGGAUGAUCUUUUGUUGAAUAAGAAAUAGGAAUUUGUACCUGAUUUAAAAGUCCAAACUGCAUCUUUUAUACUUGCUUUCAUGUAAUAUUCUAUUGCACUUUGGAAACUGAAUGAUCCACGUUGUUUUUGAUAUGAUAUUUAAAUGAUUCCUAUAUGUCCAUUUCUUAAUUCUUAUUCAGAAUAAUAACAUUUUAGGAUUCAAAUAAAGUCUGAUUUCAAGUGCCAAAAAUUUCAACCAAUCAUUGUUAUCCUUCCAUUUUAUUGCUGAUUGCAACAUUAAGGUUUAUGGAAACUGAUAUUGUGCUCAUGGUUGGCCCUCAGUCCUCCGUGGUAACCUUUAUUGAAAUUGAGCUUUGACUGCCUCUAUUAUCAUAUUCAGCUAUGGACCCAAUUCCUUCUUCACUUCAGUUCCCAUUCUUUGUUAGGACAUCUUAGAAUGGCACCAAAUAUAGCCACUUCUAGCUCUCUCAGCCACCUGCAACCUGCUUUAAAUGGACAUACUACAUUUUUUCAGUCAAUUGCCUUUUUUUGUGCUUAACAGUUCUGUUCAUCCUUUAUCUUUUAUGGGUUUCAAUACGUUCAAUUUUCUGGGCACAAAGCACCGGUGUAUAUAUAUAUAUACAUAUGAGGGUUUGCCGGGAUUUAAUUAGUGUAGAUCUAAAUGCUCACAAUUAUACCUUCACUUCGUACUUCAUAUCUAUUGUUUAAUUUAUCUGCAUGUUAGAAUAUCGUUUAUCACUCAUGGCUUUUUGCUGUUGUACACUGAUUAUUCGUUUUUUGCUAAAAUUUAAUCCAGUGUGUCCAAAGAAUGAAUUCUAGCACAUUCUCUAGAUUCUUUCGGUGUUUAAAUAUAAAAUUUCCCACCAAUUAGUUCCCCUUUUUAUUAUGAUAAGUAGGUGUCCACUUUUGCGUUUUUGUGUUUCUUCUAAGAGCAAGUUUAAGAAAGAGUGUGUUCAUUGGGCAAAGUCACCAUGAGAGUAUUUUGGACUCUGGUGUUGAUGAUUUUAAGUAAUUGAGUUGUUGUAAGC
rnacentral:misc_RNA from 1 species